AGGACGAACGCUGGCGGCGUGCCUAACACAUGCAAGUCGAACGAGGUUAAUCCGGUAGCAAUACUGGUGACUGCCUAGUGGCGAACGGGUGAGUAGCACGUGAGCAACCUGCCCCGAAGACCGGGACAACACCGGGAAACCGGUGCUAAUACCGGAUACCCCCACCUAAUCGCAUGAUCUGGUGAGGAAAUGGAUUCCGCUUCGGGAGGGCUCGCGGCCUAUCAGCUAGUUGGUGAGGUAACGGCUCACCAAGGCUUCGACGGGUAGCUGGUCUGAGAGGACGAUCAGCCACACUGGGACUGAGACACGGCCCAGACUCCUACGGGAGGCAGCAGUGGGGAAUCUUGCACAAUGGGCGAAAGCCUGAUGCAGCAACGCCGCGUGAGGGACGAAGGCUUUCUGAGUUGUAAACCUCUUUCAGCAGGGACGAUUGUGACGGUACCUGCAGAAGAACGCCCCGGCACUACGUGCCAGCAGCCGCGGUAA
rnacentral:rRNA from 1 species